CACAGAGAGCUUGCUCUCGGGUGACGAGUGGCGGACGGGUGAGUAAUGUCUGGGAAACUGCCUGAUGGAGGGGGAUAACUACUGGAAACGGUAGCUAAUACCGCAUAAUGUCGCAAGACCAAAGAGGGGGACCUUCGGGCCUCUUGCCAUCGGAUGUGCCCAGAUGGGAUUAGCUAGUAGGUGGGGUAAUGGCUCACCUAGGCGACGAUCCCUAGCUGGUCUGAGAGGAUGACCAGCCACACUGGAACUGAGACACGGUCCAGACUCCUACGGGAGGCAGCAGUGGGGAAUAUUGCACAAUGGGCGCAAGCCUGAUGCAGCCAUGCCGCGUGUAUGAAGAAGGCCUUCGGGUUGUAAAGUACUUUCAGCGAGGAGGAAGGUGUUGUGGUUAAUAACCACAGCGAUUGACGUUACUCGCAGAAGAAGCACCGGCUAACUCCGUGCCAGCAGCCGCGGUA
rnacentral:rRNA from 1 species